UACGUAGGUCCCGAGCGUUGUCCGGAUUUAUUGGGCGUAAAGCGAGCGCAGGUGGUUUAUUAAGUCUAGUGUAAAAGGCAGUGGCUCAACCAUUGUAUGCAUUGGAAACUGGUAGACUUGAGUGCAGAAGAGGAGAGUGGAAUUCCAUGUGUAGCGGUGAAAUGCGUAGAUAUAUGGAGGAACACCGGUGGCGAAAGCGGCUCUCUGGCCUGUAACUGACACUGAGGCUCGAAAGCGUGGGGAGCAAACAGG
rnacentral:rRNA from 1 species